rnacentral:rRNA from 1 species
GUGGAUUAGAUACCCUAGUAGUCCACGCCGUAAACGAUGGAUACUAGCUGUUUGGACUUCGGUUUGAGUGGCUAAGCGAAAGUGAUAAGUAUCCCACCUGGGGAGUACGCACGCAAGUGUGAAACUCAAAGGAAUUGACGGGGGCCCGCACAAGCGGUGGAGCAUGUGGUUUAAUUCGAUGAUACGCGAGGAACCUUACCAGGGCUUAAAUGUAGAUUGACAGAUUUGGAAACAGAUUUUUCUUCGGACAAUUUACAAGGUGCUGCACGGCUGUCGUCAACU